GCCUCCAUGGCGCAGUAGGCAGCGCGUGAGUCUCAUAAUCUCAAGGUCGUGAGUUCGAUCCUCACUCGGGGCA
rfam:Ciona savignyi cont_21616, whole genome shotgun sequence.